CUUGAAAUGGGCUGAGUCCCUCUUGCUCACCCUUGACUUGGAAAAACCAGUUUCUCUUUUAUUGUCUGUUACUAAUCUCUAUUCUAAAAAUUCAGCUCAAUUCUCAACCAUACUCCAAACUCUCUCUUUUCCAGCUACCUUUACUCCCUCUCCUUCAAUUCCACUUUCCUCUGCUUACUUUUUUUUUUUUUCUGACAGGGUCUCACUUUGUCGCCCGGGCAGGAGUGCAGUGGCUCAAUCUUGGGCUCACUGCAGCCUCAACCUCCCAGAGGCGGGGUUUCACCAUGUUGCCCAGACUGGUCUUGAACUCCUGAGCUUAAGCAAUCCACCUGCCUCGGCCUCCCAAAGUGUUGGGAUCACAGGCGUGAGCCACCGCAUCCGGCCUCAUGUUCUUUUUCAUUAAAGAGAGAAAUCAACUAUUCAGGACCGGCCCCCACCUUUCCUCAGGAGUCAUUUCUGUUCCGCACAGGCCUGCUGAACUGGGUGCUUUAUAUAGGACACUGUCAUCUCUCAAGUACCCAUCUUGGAGGGUACGGACCCCACAUGAGGGUGAGGCUCUCUGCACACUCCAGAGUGAGGACUUUAAUAAUCUAGUGGACUGUACAUGUUGGGAGGGGAAGAGCGGGGUGCCGAGGGUCUGGAGGGAGAAGAAUUGACUGCCCCUUUUGCUCUUGGAGUUAAGCAGAAAUCUAAAGAGAAGGCAAAGAAUCUUGCCUUCCUGGCAUCAUUUCCUCCUACCAUCCCAGGCCAUCAUUUAUUUAUUACAGCCAACAGACUGGCCUCUUUCUUCCCUUUGACUGGGAAUGGGUCAAAGGCGGUGCAGGAGGAGGAUCUGGUCCAGAUAAUUCACAAGCAGGGUGCAUUUUCCUCUCAUUAUUGAGAACUGUGAGUGUUUAUCAAGAAGGCAGAGCAGGAGAAGAUGAACCAGUCUUCUUCCCCUCACUACCCAGAUCUCUGCCUGCCAACAAGCCCCGUGUUCACCCUGGCAAAGAGUCUUUACAUUCAGACCAAGGAGAGUGUGACUCCUUCUCAGCACUAGCUAGAAACCUCAAGCCCUUGCUUAAGGGCCUUUUUCAGAGAGACCCAAUGCCCAGAAGGCUAGAUGCGUGGGGAGGAGCCACAUACGAGAAACUGCCUCCCUGCUUCGGGUCAGAACAAGCCCCAGGAAGAAAGUAUUUCAAACAACAAGGUGCAUCUGCCCCAACCCAUCCAGCCUGCAUGUUGGUGCUGAGAACAGCCUUUUAUGGGGCUUGCACUGAGCCAUGGGCAUGUCUGAACACAACAAGGAAGAGGCCAGAGCAGCAACAGCACGCAAAGGGUUGAUGGGCAUUUCUUUUAAGACAGAGCAGAAAACUCUUAGAUACUUUGCGUCCUUCCUAUUUGACUCAGUCUAUGAAAGCCAGGUUAGCUUGCUUUCUUCCUCCCUAAAUCCUCCAUCCUCAUGACCAACAAAGAAAUAGUUGAAUCAUUUUCCAGGCACAUCUUGGGGAGGAUGUGGGGCCAUUGGAGGCUGUCCUUCCUAGAUAAGUCUUUAGGAGUGAGAACAAGGAGUCUUACCCUCCUCUGUCCACCCACCCCCAUGAAUGGGCCUGGCUCCAGCCAGGAGUUGUGGUUUUUCCUGAGCUCCUCACCUAUCUCUUCUGGAUUUCACAUUGGCAAACGGGGUUGCAAAGUGCUCUUCGUGCUCUUUGGACAGUGCCUUGUGGAGAGGAAUGCCCAUGCCCCUGCAUUCCAAGGCCUUGGUAAGCAAGCUCAGAGUAGCUGGAUUUUUCUAAAGCAAUUGCAGAACACCUGCUUUUUCUUUGUUUCCUCUAGAAAGGACCAACCACACCGAGCUCAGUUAUGGCACACACAGUGGGACCUAGACAAAGGGAGAGGGUGACCGACAUCCCAACUAGGUAAACACAGAGGAGGUUCCACAUGGACUUAUCUGGGUGGCUGUUUUGAAAACGAGAAACAGUCAAGAGUCCCUGGCCCCACAGACCCACCUCCCCAACUCAGCACUGUCUGUCUGUGCAGCAGGUGCAAGGACGUGUUGAACUAGCUCUCUGCAGCCUCCUUGGAGGAUGUGAUCCUAUGGGAGGGGUAGGAGUAUUCAGGUCCUUGACAUCUCCCAAAUGUGUGAUUCCGGGAUGCCAAAGGCCUUUGGCCAGGUAAUGCAGUGUCUACAGGCUGAGGUUGACAUGCAUCCCCACCCUCUGAGAAAAAGAUCCUCAGACAAUCCAUGUGCUUCUCUUGUCCUUCAUUCCACCGGAGUCUGUCUCAUACCCAACCAGAUUUCAGUGGAGUGAAGUUCAGGAGGCAUGGAGCUGACAACCAUGAGGCCUCGGCAGCCACCGCCACCACCGCCGCCGCCACCACCGUAGCAGCAGCAGCAGCAGCAGCAGCAGCAGCAGCAGCAGCAAGAGUAACUCUGACUUAGGAAUAGAGACAGCCAGAGAGAAAUGUGAUCAAUGAAGGAGACAUCUGGAGUGUGCGUGCUUCUUCAGAGGGACGGGUGAUGGGCAGAUUGGAAAAAGCACCGCAGAUGGGAACCUUAAUCUUUCUUUUCUAAAAUUGAUGCUAUGAAAAUUUGCGUUUUCUGUAACUUGUAAAAACUAAAAGUUGCUUGUCUACUGAAAAGCCUCUCUGCCUCUAUGUUUUAUACCAUCGGAUGCCAACUCCCGGCCUUCUAAGCCACCUCCCCUUUAGGCUAAAACUGAGACAUGAACUUGAAAAAUUGACACUGGCUUCCUCUCUCUUUAGGGUCCCCAGGCAGGUGGCUGGGACACUAUUUGCAAUCAGCAAGGAACCCUGCUGCCCUUAGACUCCCCACAGAGCAAGCAGAACUUGCAGAAUGGGGUAAAAACACUCUAUUAAAGAUUUUUUAAACCUAUUUAUAUUGUAAUAAAGUAAAUGUAAAUAAAAUUUA
rnacentral:lncRNA from 1 species